rfam:Triticum aestivum genome assembly, contig: Triticum_aestivum_CS42_TGACv1_scaffold_092906_2AL
UUUAUACUCCCUCUGUCCGAGAAAACCUGUCCCAAGCUUAUUCCUCAAAUGGAUGUAUCUAGCACUAACUUGGUGCUACAUACAUCCAUUUGAGGGACAAGUUUUUCCGGAUGGAGGGAGUACAAA